GGACGAACGCUGGCGGCGUGCUUACCCCAUGCAAGUCGAACGCUGAAGCUUGGUGCUUGCACUGGGUGGAUGAGUGGCGAACGGGUGAGUAAUACGUGAGUAACCUGCCCUUGACUCUGGGAUAAGCCUGGGAAACUGGGUCUAAUACUGGAUACGACAUGUCACCGCAUGGUGGUGUGUGGAAAGGGUUUUACUGGUUUUGGAUGGGCUCACGGCCUAUCAGCUUGUUGGUGGGGUAAUGGCUCACCAAGGCGACGACGGGUAGCCGGCCUGAGAGGGUGACCGGCCACACUGGGACUGAGACACGGCCCAGACUCCUACGGGAGGCAGCAGUGGGGAAUAUUGCACAAUGGGCGGAAGCCUGAUGCAGCGACGCCGCGUGAGGGAUGACGGCCUUCGGGUUGUAAACCUCUUUCAGCACGGAAGAAGCGAAAGUGACGGUACGUGCAGAAGAAGCGCCGGCUAACUACGUG
rnacentral:rRNA from 1 species